UACUGCAUCGACCUUAACCUGACCGGCCAAACCCUAGAAAAUAUCCAAGCAUAGAUCGAUCGAUCGAUUGAUUGAGGGCACACGAAGCAGAUGGCCGACGGCGAUCUGGAGCUGGUAGUACCGGAGGCCGACGACCAUAGCAGAUGGGCAGUAACGUUCCUUGUGGGCUGCGCCGGCGUCUUGGUUCUUUACAUCGCCACCUUCUUUCCAACGACCGAUGAGGACCUCCUCAUGAUGCUCCUCUCGCUUCUGCCCAUCUUGCUCGGCUUCAAUCUUUGCGGCCUUUCAUGCCUUUUCCUUAUGGACAGGUAUAUGGUUGGUCUUAUUCCGGAGGGUGAACUAAGGACAGUUGAUAGACUUUUGUUGCUCUAGUAAUUCUAUAUACCUAAGAGAUUCAUCCCCAUUAUCCUAUUUAUCUUAACAUGCAAGCUAUCCACAUCAGCAGUCCACUCACAUCAGCGCUCCGUUACCGAAUUACAAAAGGGACCCACCACAGGUUGACAUGGAUUCUCUGCCUCCACGUCACCUCAACUUCUUCUACCAAGUUGUGUCACACACACGUCACCUCAACUUCUUCUACCACAUUGUGUCUCACACACAUGCUGUGCGUUAUCACGUUGUGCGGCACGCAGCAAAUGUAGGUGGCAUACGAAACGAGGGCCUGCCCAUAUUCCUUUCAUCCACUAUCUCGCCACUGAUCAUUAAUAGGCCCGUUUACUAGGAUAAAGCCAGUUCGUCUCACACAAAUCAUGAACGAAACAUUGCGCCUUCCAACUGGGUGCUACUGCGACGGGGCGGCGGCGGACAUGUAGCAGAGCACCGGUAUCCAUUAACUAGAGGAAUAGGUGUCAGGCAGGCAGCGGUGAGGACGUAGCAGCAGCCAGCAGGCGAGGCGCCACACACCGACGACAACGAUCGUAGACUGAACGCUCCAGCUAGGGCUGAGCCGCCACUGGGUACUACUGCAAGGGUCGAACAAGCAGAACGAGAGUGCCAGAUCGAUAGAGAAGAACACCGCUACAUGACCAGAAACUGGAGCCCUAUGUUGCCAUCAUGGACAUGGAUCGGAAGGCUCUGAAUUACGCCAGAUGCAUUCAUCCCCUACAAACUAUAAUAUUUCGGGGCAACCUUUUAAUCAUAAUUUAAUUUUAUUAAUAUCUGUGUAAAUGCAGAUAACUCAUCAUGCUUAUUUCUAGGAGUGGAACUAAGCUUCAUCAAAUUCAAAAGCAUGUAUAAUGCUGCGCACUACACAAAACAAACAAAAAGAAUGAGAACAACCUGAGUAUACUGUCAUGAAUGGUAGCAGUAUGUUGCACAAGGUUGAUCCGGUGAGAAGCAUGAUUUACUCAAUAGUGUACCUCGUGAUUUAUUAGUGAUAUCUUUUAACAGAAAAUUAGAUUAUUAGUGAACUCGCAUUUUUUCUUCUGAGCAAGCUAUGUUUUUAUGGAAUGGAUAGUUAAUAGUUGUCAUCGUUGUUUCAGGUUUUUUCCAAGGGCUGAGAUGUCUCUACUUAAAGGUGUUUUUUUUUUUGCAUCAGCUUGGUUUUUUUUUGCGGGUGAUGUAUCACCUUGGUGAUAUACUUUUUUUGCGGGGAACCUUCGUGAUAUACUAUUAAGGUAAUAAAGGAGAAGAAGUUUAUCAAAGCAGGUAAUAAUUAGUAAAAAAAUCACGUGCACACAAUUUAAGCUUUUCAACACUUUUAUCUUAUUCUAAACAAUAUUUUUUUCCAAGAAUGUUAUUUAAAAAAACACAUUUAUCAUAUUCUAAACAAUAUUUUUUCCAAAGAAUAUUCUUUAUCAUCGCACAUACUAAAAUUCAUGUGCACACAAUUUUAGCUUUUCAACACUAUUCUCUCUUAUUCUAAACAAUAUUUUUUUCCAAGAAUAUUAUUUA